UAUCUGGUGAGAAUAAUUGGCCAGGAG
rnacentral:piRNA from 1 species